AAUCUUUGAAGGCUACGACGAUUUUGAAAAUCGUUUAUAAACGUUCAAUUCGUUUAAAGAUUU
rnacentral:tRNA from 1 species